rnacentral:rRNA from 1 species
UAACCUACCCAUCAGAGGGGGAUAACACUUGGAAACAGGUGCUAAUACCGCAUAACAGUUUAUGCCGCAUGGCAUAAGAGUGAAAGGCGCUUUCGGGUGUCGCUGAUGGAUGGGCCCGCGGUGCAUUAGCUAGUUGGUGAGGUAACGGCUCACCAAGGCCACGAUGCAUAGCCGACCUGAGAGGGUGAUCGGCCACACUGGGACUGAGACACGGCCCAG